rnacentral:rRNA from 1 species
CAGUAGCCGCGGUAAAACGUAGGUGGCAAGCGUUAUCCGGAAUUAUUGGGCGUAAAGCGCGCGUAGGCGGUUUUUUAAGUCUGAUGUGAAAGCCCACGGCUCAACCGUGGAGGGUCAUUGGAAACUGGAAAACUUGAGUGCAGAAGAGGAGAGUGGAAUUCCAUGUGUAGCGGUGAAAUGCGCAGAGAUAUGGAGGAACACCAGUGGCGAAGGCGACUUUCUGGUCUGUAACUGACGCUGAUAUGCGAAAGCGUGGGGAUCAAACAGGAUUAGAUACCCCUGUAGUCCCUGUCUCUUAUAC